rnacentral:rRNA from 1 species
UACGGAGGGAGCUAGCGUUAUUCGGAAUUACUGGGCGUAAAGCGCACGUAGGCGGCUUUGUAAGUUAGAGGUGAAAGCCUGGUGCUCAACACCAGAACUGCCUUUGAUACUGUAUCGCUUGAAUCCAGGAGAGGUGAGUGGAAUUCCGAGUGUAGAGGUGAAAUUCGUAGAUAUUCGGAAGAACACCAGUGGCGAAGGCGGCUCACUGGACUGGUAUUGACGCUGAGGUGCGAAAGCGUGGGGAGCAAACAGG